UGUCACUCAUUCUUCGAUAAUUUCCAAGGUUUACAACCCGAAGGCCUUCAUCCCUCACGCGAUGUCGCUCCAUCAGACUUUCGUCCAUUGUGGAAGAUUCUCAG
rnacentral:rRNA from 1 species